GACGAACGCUGGCGGCGUGCUUAACACAUGCAAGUCGAGCGAUGAAGUUUCUUCGGAAAUGGAUUAGCGGCGGACGGGUGAGUAACACGUGGGUAACCUGCCUCAUAGAGGGGAAUAGCCUUCCGAAAGGAAGAUUAAUACCGCAUAAGAUUGUAGUGCCGCAUGGCAUAGCAAUUAAAGGAGUAAUCCGCUAUGAGAUGGACCCGCGUCGCAUUAGCUAGUUGGUGAGGUAACGGCUCACCAAGGCGACGAUGCGUAGCCGACCUGAGAGGGUGAUCGGCCACAUUGGGACUGAGACACGGCCCAGACUCCUACGGGAGGCAGCAGUGGGGAAUAUUGCACAAUGGGGGAAACCCUGAUGCAGCAACGCCGCGUGAGUGAUGACGGUCUUCGGAUUGUAAAGCUCUGUCUUCAGGGACGAUAAUGACGGUACCUGAGGAGGAAGCCGCGGCUAACUACGUGCCAGCAGCCGCCGUAACAC
rnacentral:rRNA from 1 species